CAAUAAAACAAGUAUGCACAGCUUCUUCUUAGUUUUUAGACAUUCAAACUUUAGAAAGAUUGAUACCUGAAGGAUCAUGGUACUCUAUCUAGCGUGCUAACGCCCAUCCUUCGGUCUACCAUAGACCAACAAUUUGUUCCUCAUGGACCUCAUCACAUCCAUAUUUUGCAGUGUAAAAGAUUUCCUGCCACAAGUGGAAGUUGUUGUGACAACAAAAUUAAAAACCAAAUGAGCCUGAAAUCCAACUUUACAAUCAAUUGUUCGCAAUAUGUGGAUUCUUAAACUAAAAUAUGCUCAAUCAGCACAAGAUUCUACCAAAUCACAAGGAGACGUCUCAACAAUAACAAAACUGAAUCCAGAAACUAUGACACAAAAUUAACCCUGAUCUAGGUCUUUCAACAAAGUCGGGACUGCAAUUAUCUGUAUCAGUCCCUACAGAAAUCAUCACCACUUGAUUCUCUACAUCUAACCUCAAUCAAUUUCACCGAAAGUAUCAGAUAAGGCAAGACAUUACCACCGUAAAUAGAUUCAGUAGAAAAUGGAAAAUUAUGGUGGUGAAGAAGAAAUACCAUUCUUUUGAAAGCACAUAGUCCUGAUGUACUGCAAGUCGGCAAAGUACACCUACAUCACUUCUCCUCGG
rnacentral:lncRNA from 1 species